rnacentral:tRNA from 1 species
GGGCGCUUAGCUCAGUUGGAAGAGUGCUUGGUUUGCAACCAAGAUGCCGGGGGUUCAAAUCCCCCAGCGUCCACCA